rnacentral:lncRNA from 1 species
UAACUUAAAACACUAUAAUAAGUAGAAACUAACUAUGAAAAUGCAAGAAAACAAGCUAACUAAGUCGCAUAAAUAUGCUCCUAUCACUUUUCGGCUUGGUUUGCUAUACUGUGUUUUGAAAAAAAAUUGCUUUUGCUGUGCAUUGAGAAUAAGUUCAUUUUUGCUGCUUCACGUUUUCAGAUUUUUUUCAUCAAAAACUGUGAAAAUAAGUUGUUUGCAAGUUUUUACCAAACAUCUUUUUGAGCCUAGCUUUUUUUAUACCCACUUUUAUAAAAGAACGUAUUUUAUGUCAAAAGAUGCAACGGACAAAAAUUUGUAGAUAUUUUUAUAUAUGGUCCUGUUAAUGAUGCAAUGGAUAAAAAAUUGUAUAUAUUUUCAUAUCAUUAACACGGAAAGUUAAAGGUACGGUGUACUAAAUCAGAGAAUUAAAUUUAGUUAAAUAAAUGUUUCCCCAAUCAUCACAAUUACAACUUCCUUGCAAUGCAACCAAGUUAGAUGAAGCACAUUUUUGAUAUGGCAUGAUUGUUACCCUCCCAUUUCAAAGAAGCUGAAUCAAGAAGCUUAAUGUCUUAUCUACAUAUCGAUAUUAAGAACAUAUUACGAUACAUUGGAUUAGAAUCGAGAGACACAUUUUUAACAUACAUUGUGACACUCAUUUUUAAUUCAUUAAUUUACAUUAAAAAUUAUAAUCAAUGGUUGAGAUUGAAUCCGAUACUAAUUAAAAAAUAAAUUCUUCCAUUCCGUUAUUGGUAACAUGAAACGUACAACUUACAAAACUUGAGUCAUGCAUGAAAUGAUAACCAAAAAAUUGAGUGUUUAGUUUUUGAGUUCACUUGUUAGUUUCUAACAAAAUUGUAGGGGGACAUUUAAAGUUAGACUAAGCGAUGAUUGUGGUUGAUGACGACCUGACAGCCAUGGAGGGAAGCUUUCAAAUAACUUAGAGCAUUUCCAAUGAAGGUUUGAUUCUCCUUGAGGCUACUAUAUUUAUAAUUCUAGUAAAACUUUUCAUUCUCAAAGGGCUGGAAAAUAGGGCAACAUCCAUCACAUGGACUAGCAACUUCAUUUAUCGAGUAGCAAAACAUUUGACUACUUCUUGCCCCAAAAAGCAGGAGGAUCUACACCAAAUUGGGGGCCUAGUCUUUUUUUUUUUUUUUUUAAAUUUAGAAAUAGGUCAGUCUCAUUUUCAAUUUCAAAAUAUGAUUUUUAACGGUUUAUUUUUUUAACCAUUUAUGAUUUUAAAGGUUUAUUUUUCAAUCGGUUGUUUGAUUAUAAAAACAUAAACAAACAACGGCUAUUUUUUGUGUGUGAUUGGCUAAGAGAAAAAUGUUGUGCCUUGUGAUUAAAUUUCUAGGUUGAAAAGUUCAUAAAAAAGUGAUGAAAUUUAACAUUGGUAGUUUAGAGACCUAAACUGAAAACAUAAACAAACAACAUAACUAAAUUGAAAAAGAUAAUCCAAUCCAAUGGUUGUUAUGAAAUGAAAUUUUAUCUUGUUUGAUUUUGGAGAAUCUGCCAAUCAAAUAAGUUCAUAAAAAAAAUUUAAAAAUAACAUGUCCAAAAAUCAACUUAAGAAAAGUUAAGACAAAAAUAAAUUUACCACGUAAUCAAAUCACUACAAAAAUAAAUAUAUAGAGCUUGAAAGGUAUAUUGCCCCUCAUUGGAGAGAUUAUUUUUUAGAGUGAAAGAUUCUUUAGAACUCUAAAUUGGGCUAUAUCUACCACUUUUUUAGCUUUGUAUAGAGCCCCUCUUUGGGGAUGCUCUUAAGAUAAGCAUAUCAUUUCAUUCUCUUAUGUCAUGAUCUCUUGAUAAAUUUAAGGGCAUGUUUACUUACAAAGAAUAAGAAAUAUUAUUUUGAUUCGUGAGUUUUCUGCCUUUACUAAAAUGUGAGCAAGGCAAUCAUUUCACUCCUUAACUUUUUUCUGUGUUUACUUAUGUUUAUACCAUACUUAGGGUCUCUGUAUUUAGAUCUCGUACAAAUACUCGGGGGACUUAAAUGUAAUUAUGUAAUAAAGAAAUGGGCAAAUAUGUAAUAAGUGAGGAGCCCUUAUUCUAUAAAAGGACUCAUCACCCUCACAAUUAGGAGAGGCCAAUUCUUAGGCCAUGGGAAGAGCUCUCUCACCCUCAGAAGCUCUCUCCCUCACUCCCCUCACCUCUAAGAGAAAUACAAUAAUUAGUGUGGACGUAGCCCAAACAUUGGGGUGAACCACGAUACAUCUUGUGUUAUUUACUUUCUUGCAGAUUCACAGUCAGAUU